UACGGGGGGAGCAAGCGUUGUUCGGAUUUACUGGGCGUAAAGGGCGCGUAGGCGGCCACCGCAAGUCAAUUGUGAAAUCUCCGGGCUUAACCCGGAGCGGCCAAGUGAUACUGUCGUGCUAGAGUGCGGAAGGGGCUACUGGAAUUCUCGGUGUAGCGGUGAAAUGCGUAGAUAUCGAGAGGAACACCUGCGGCGAAGGCGGGUAGCUGGGCCGACACUGACGCUGAUGCGCGAAAGCCAGGGGAGCGAACGGG
rnacentral:rRNA from 1 species